rnacentral:rRNA from 1 species
GUGGGGAAUAUUGCGCAAUGGGGGCAACCCUGACGCAGCAAUACCGCGUGAGUGAAGAAGGUUUUCGGAUCGUAAAGCUCUGUUAUUGGGGAAGAAAAAAGACGGUACCCAAGAAGAAAGUCCCGGCUAACUACGUGCCAGCAGCCGCGGUAAUACGUAGGGGACAAGCGUUGUCCGGAUUUACUGGGCGUAAAGGGCACGCAGGCGGUUUUUUAAGUCAGAUGUGAAAGGUACCGGCUCAACCGGUGACAUGCAUUUGAAACUGAAAGACUUGAGUAUUGGAGAGGCAAGUGGAAUUCCUAGUGUAGCGGUGAAAUGCGUAGAUAUUAGGGGGAACACCGGUGGCGAAGGCGGCUUGCUGGACAAAUACUGACGCUGAGGUGCGAAAGCGUGGGGAGCAAACAGGAUUAGAAACCCGUGUAGUCC